rnacentral:rRNA from 1 species
CCCUAAGCGGGAGUACGCCAGCCGGUGGAUGCCUCGGCUUGGGCGCCGACGAAGGACGUGGCAAGCUGCGAUAAG